CUAAAAUAUCGGUAUGUCAAACAGGGUGAAUCGUUCGAAACGGUAGUUAUGGCGGGCGUCACUAAGUUAAGUCUGCCGCAAGUUAACAGUCAGCUAAUUAUGGCCUCCCUAUUGUGACUGUUGACUAUUUCGGACGAACCAUUUUGGCUUGACUCGUCGGACUUCGUAAUGGGCUGCGAAGUCUCGCCAUUUUCCAUUCGCGUUUGACUCACCUCACCUAUUCGACCUAUUUCUUGCGAGCGGGGGGUUUCGGCUCAAGCUUCGGAUUUUCCCCUGGACAAGCUUGCCCCGGAACAGCCGACACAAGUGAAAAGGCUAAGCACCGACGACGGAACGAGGGCAGCGGGAAACCAGCGCAUUAACAACAGGUUGAACAAUCAUGGCGACAUAAGUUUACGACAACGUAGAUGCGGGGUGGGAGGUGCCGUACAAAGAGAAAACAAGUUGUUGCGCUGGCCGACAAGCAGAUAAUUUAAGACGAAAUUCAAUGCGAAAGUUCCUAAAAUCUAAAGAGGCACACAGUGUCCGGUUUACUCAGUUGUAAUCUCACGUCAGUUUCCUGUACAGAUUCAUAAUUUUGAUUUGUCGCAAAUAUCUUGAUGAACGUUUGAUAAAAAUGUAUCGAUUUUAUUUCUGGCUUCGGGGCGACCUACGAUUUCAAUGUGUUGCUGAUCAUCUGCGAUGUGGGAAACUAAAGUUACUAAAAUAAGAACACGAUGUAAAAAGGCGUGCAAGGUCAGCAAAAUAGUUAUAUCAAUUAAAAAUGAUCCUCAAAUAAAGAAAGGAUAUGUAUUGAAGAAAUAUGAACUAUAUACGUGCUUCUAUAAAUGUACAGCAAAAAAAGGAAAAAAAACGCUAGAGUAACAGCUUUGCAAGCACAUGAUCGAUUGGACACCAUAGCAAGUAGUUGGACUUUAGUCAGAUUUAUUAGUCCUUAGCGCUAAGCAAUAUUCAUUUAUUAAUUCUUAGCUCUACAAAAUAUUGGCAGUAAUAAAAUCCCAAUAAGAUACGUAGUUGUUAAGUUUGUCAAAAGUGAAAUAAGAUUAAUGUAAUUAGAAUAAUCGUCGAAUAUGUCUACUCAUAAAACACCAGCACGAAAUAGGUGUUGGAUUAAGAUACAAAAAGAAUGGUAGUACUACCAUGGGGAGGGCGUGUUUAAAAAACGCUUCUUAGGUUCAUAUAUUUUUUUAAUUGCAGAUAAAUCGAUGAUAAUUAAAGUAAUUAUGAAUUGAA